rnacentral:rRNA from 1 species
GAUGAACGCUGGCGGCGUGCCUAAUACAUGCAAGUCGAGCGAACAGACGAGGAGCUUGCUCCUCUGACGUUAGCGGCGGACGGGUGAGUAACACGUGGAUAACCUACCGAUAAGACUGGGAUAACUUCGGGAAACCGGAUCUAAUACCGGAUGAUAUAUUGAACCACAUGGUUCAAUAGUGAAAGACGGUUUUGCUGUCACUUAUAGAUGGAUCCUCGCCGCAUUAGCUAGUUGGUAAGGUAACGGCUUACCAAGGCAACGAUGCGUAGCCGACCUGAGAGGGUGGUCGGCCACACUGGAACUGAGACACGGUCCAGACUCCUACGGGAGGCAGAAGUAGGGAAUCUUCCGCAAUGGGCGAAAGCCUGACGGAGCAACGCCGCGUGAGUGAUGAAGGUCUUCGGAUCGUAAAACUCUGUUAUUAGGGAAGAACAAAUGUGUAAGUAACUAUGCACGUCUUGACGGUACCUAAUCAGAAAGCCACGGCUAACUACGUG